rnacentral:rRNA from 1 species
AGCGAACGUUUGCGGCGGGCCUAACACAUGCAAGUCGAACGAGAAAACCUUCGGGUGAGUAGAGUGGCGCACGGGUGAGGAACGCGUAGGUAAUCUACCCUUUGGCGGGGGACAACACCCGGAAACGGAUGCUAAUACCGCAUAUGACCACGCUCACUAAGGUGAGAGUGGUAAAAGACGCUUCACAGCGUCACCAAAGGAUGAGCCUGCGUCCCAUCAGCUUGUUGGUAAGGUAACGGCUUACCAAGGCGAAGACGGGUAGCUGGUCUGAGAGGAUGAUCAGCCACACUGGUACUGGAACACGGACCAGACUCCUACGGGAGGCAGCAGUGAGGAAUAUUGGGCAAUGGGCGAAAGCCUGACCCAGCCACGCCGCGUGUGUGAUGAAGGCCUUCGGGUCGUAAAGCACUGUGGGGAGGGACGAACAAGCGCAUCAGGAAAUGGGUGCGCCCUGACGGUACCUCCUUAGCAAGCACCGGCUAACUCUGUGCCAGCCGCCGCCGUAACAC